CGAACGCUGGCGGCGUGCUUAACACAUGCAAGUCGAACGCGAAAGGGACUUCGGUCCUGAGUAAAGUGGCGCACGGGUGAGUAACGCGUAGAUAACCUGUCUUCAUGUCUGGAAUAAUACGCCGAAAGGGGUACUAAUACCGGAUAUUCUUGCUUUUCAUAAGUUAUGCAAGCAAAGGUGGCCUCUGCAUAUGCUACUGCAUGAAGAGGGGUCUGCGUACCAUUAGCUAGUAGGUGGGGUAAUGGCCUACCUAGGCGACGAUGGUUAGCGGGUCUGAGAGGAUGAUCCGCCACACUGGCACUGGAACACGGGCCAGACUCCUACGGGAGGCAGCAGUGAGGAAUAUUGCGCAAUGGGGGAAACCCUGACGCAGCGACGCCGCGUGAGUGAAGGGGAGGCCUUCGGGUCGUAAAGCUCUGUCAAGAGGAAAGAAGUGUACAAUGGCUAAUACCUGUUGUAUUUGACGGUACCUCUAAAGGAAGCACCGGCUAACUCCGUGCCAGCCGCAGC
rnacentral:rRNA from 1 species